rnacentral:rRNA from 1 species
GAUGAACGCUGGCGGCGUGCCUAAUACAUGCAAGUCGAGCGAAUGGAUUAAGAGCUUGCUCUUAUGAAGUUAGCGGCGGACGGGUGAGUAACACGUGGGUAACCUGCCCAUAAGACUGGGAUAACUCCGGGAAACCGGGGCUAAUACCGGAUAACAUUUUGAACCGCAUGGUUCGAAAUUGAAAGGCGGCUUCGGCUGUCACUUAUGGAUGGACCCGCGUCGCAUUAGCUAGUUGGUGAGGUAACGGCUCACCAAGGCAGCGAUGCGUAGCCGGCCUGGAGGGGGGAUCGGCCAAACUGGGACUGAGACCCGGCGCAGAAUCCUACGGGAGGCGGCAGGAGGGAAUCUUCCACAAUGGACGAAAGUCUGACGGAGCAACGCCGCGUGAGUGAUGAAGGCUUUCGGGUCGUAAAACUCUGUUGUUAGGGAAGAACAAGUGCUAGUUGAAUAGGCUGGCACCUUGACGGUACCUAACCAGAAAGCCACGGCUAACUACGUGCCAGCCGCCGCAGUAA